rnacentral:rRNA from 1 species
AACGCGAAGAACCUUACCUGGGCUCGAACGGCUUUGGAAACUCCUUGGAAACAGGGAUUUCCCGCAAGGGACCGGAGUCGAGGUGCUGCAUGGCUGUCGUCAGCUCGUGUCGUGAGAUGUUGGGUUAAGUCCCGCAACGAGCGCAACCCUUGUCCUGUGUUGCCACUCCCCUUAAAAGGAAGCACUCGCAGGAGACCGCCAGCGAUAAGCUGGAGGAAGGUGGGGAUGAUGUCAAGUCAUCAUGGCCUUUAUGUCCAGGGCUACACACGUGCUACAAUGGCCGGUACAAAGCGCUGCAAACCCGCGAGGGGAAGCUAAUCGCAAAAAACCGGUCUCAGUUCGGAUCGCAGGCUGCAACUCGCCUGCGUGAAGCUGGAAUCGCUAGUAAUGGCGUAUCAGAACGAUGCCGUGAAUACGUUCCCGGGCCUUGUACACACCGUACGUC